rnacentral:lncRNA from 1 species
AAACACGCAAUAGAAGGUAAUCAAAUAUAAAAAAAAAAUAGAGAAAGAUGAUUUUUUGCUUUCGAUUUCUAUACUCUUUUUCUUUUACUUCUUUCUUUUUACUGGCAUUUACUCAAAUCCUUCAUCAUUGCAUUUAGAAAAAUAAAAGAAAAGGGAUAAGAUAAACUUUACCUUGCAAAUAUGCCGUAGAUCUCUUUUGGCUUCGUCGAAAUCGAACUCAAAAUGAAAUUUCGAGGCUAAAAAAUGUCCCUCAAGGCAUGAAGGUACUGAUCGCCAUUUAGGGAGGUGAAUCGGUGCUUAAAAGGAGGGCUAGAGUUCAGCUGAAGAGAAUGAAAUGGGGAAGCUAGAGUUGUUUUCAUGGUUCGGCUGAAUGAAGGCCUCAUUUGGCUUCUAUAAAGAAGCAAAAACGGUGCCAUUUAAACCAUCUUCAAUGGUUUAAAAAGACGUCGUCUGGAGCCAGCCCGACUUGAUCCGGUCCGUCGCCCCUGGAACCUGUGCGUUUUUACGGUGAGGGGAUAUUUACACGAUAGGUCCUCCCCUUUCGCGUGUGCAUUCAAUCGCACCUUAUCUGUUUUGCUUUUUUUUCUUAAAUUAGUUCUUUAAUUUGUACGCAUUUUCAUUUUAGUCCGAUGUACAGCGCAGCGUUUUGGUCUAGGGGAUAUUUCUAUUUCUAGCCCCCAUAUAUUUGCGCGGAUUACUUAUUGAUCCAAUUUUUGAUUAUUUUAUUUAUAAAUUAUUCCUCUUAUUUUAAUUCAGUUUUAAUUUAGUUUUCUAUUUGUAUAACUUACCAUUUUAACAUAUUUAAUAUUUCUAUGCUGAUCUGUUUUAAUCAUUUUGUUUGGUUCUAUUUGUACAAUUGUUUUUGAAGAUUAUUUUAACAUUUUUGUACAAUAUUCCUUUAGAUAAUCUAUAUAUAUUUGUACAUGUAGUAUUUUAAUUGAGUUUUUGACUCGUAAUGCUUACUAUUUUAAAGUUCCUAACAUUUUUAUAUAUGUGUAUAUGCGUUGAGUUCUCUUAAAAACUUUAUCUUGUUUAUAAAAUCAUCGUUUUAAAAUUCUUUUUACAUAUGUGUAUAUGCGUUGAGUUCUCUUAAAGUUACUAUUUUAACGCUUUUAUAUAACAUUUUGUUUAAAUAUUUAUAUAUAUUGGUACAUCUAUUUGAUCUAUAUACAUUACUAAAUCCAUGUAUUUUAUAACUAUAGUUUUCUUUGUACAUAAGAGUAUGUUUUUAAGUCUAUUAUAUAUAUAAUUUAUAAUAAAAUUAAUAUAAUUCUAUGUACAUAUUAUGUCCCAUGCUAAUUUAUUUUAUAAGUUCUUUUAAAUUUAUCCGUAUAUAUUUUUAUGUAUAUGAGUCAUUUUUUUGAACAUAUUUUAUUACAUAUUGUUUUGAUUUAAAGUCUUACAUUUAAAUACUAUUUAUAUAUAUACACAUUUGUCAACAUACACAUUUGUCAGCUUUAAAUGGAUACAUCAUCUUUAAAAUAUUUAUGUCCAUUAUUUGACUCAAAUUUCCUCUUUUAUAAUAUAUAUUUCACUAAUAAGCUAUGUAUAUACUUAGUUUUUAUAUAUAUAAAUUAUUUCUAAUUUUGCAUGUGUUAUUCACUUAUGAUUUUUUAUAUAUAUAGUUUUAUAUCGAUUCGCCUCAUAGUAGCUCUUAAUUUCUAUAUUGUUUUGUAUUUUGAUUUUUUUUAUUAUUAUGUCAAUUAUUCUCCAUACAUGCUUGAACAUUGAGUUAUAUUUUUUAGAUUAAUUAUAUUUAAUUGUUUUGUUAGUUGAUUAAAUAAGUUAUAUUAUCUUCAUUCAUCCAUUGUCGUAUUUUAUGCAUACAUGUUAUCCUAUGUCUCCAUUUUUUUCCUCUUGGUUUACAAAUGUUGCUUUAUAACUUCCAACUCUUUAAAACUAUGUAUCCCGCUUUAUUUCAAGUCGAAUUAAUGCGUUUUAAGCUAGUUUUAUAACUAUUCAUUCAAAAAUUCUUUAAAACGAAGGCAAUGUUCGAUGUUUGGCAAUUCGGGGAAUCGUGCCCUAUCGUGCUGAUUGCAAUAUCUCGUUUGUCCAAAAUAAUCGAAUAUUCCUUUGGAAUUUCACUCAUGUCUUUAAAAAUUCUUCAAAACGAAGGAAAUGUUCGAUGUUUAGCAAUUCGGAGAAUCGUGCCCUAUCGUGCUGGGUUGCAAUUUCUCGUUUGCUCAAAAUAAUCAAAUAUUCCUUUAGAAUUUCACUCAUGUUUUCUAAAUUCUAAAACAAGGCAAUGUUCAAUAUUUGGAAAUUCAGGGAAUCGUGCCCUACCGUGCUGGGUUUCGAUUUUUCGUUGGACUAAAUAAUUGGGCAUCCUUUUGUAAUUUUCAACGUAUAAACUUUCGGAAGUCAAAGUUUAUCGUUGUUUUUGAGGGUAUAAAGGAUCGUGUCCUAUCGUGUUGGAUGUGAUGCUGCAUUCCUCUGAAACAAGAGAAUUUUGACAACCAACUUGAGCCAUUCAAAUGCUUCAAAAGGAACCAUAUUUCAAAAACAGCUUUAAAACUUAGACAUAAGGACAACACUUAAUCAAUUUGGUACCAAUUUUGGGCGUAGUGAGGGUGCUAAUCCUUCCUCAUAUGUAACCAACUCCUGAACCUGUUUUCUCAAAUUUACGUAGGCCAAAAUCGAUUUAAAUAAAACAAAGUGUUUUAUUGGGUGACCCAAUCACACCUAAAUAAAAGAUUGGUGGCGACUCCACAUUUUUGUUUUUUAAAGUCAAUCCCCACUAUUUUUUAACUUUAAAAAAAAUAGUUUCGACAGCUUGGCGACUCCACUGGGGAACAAGAGAGUCUAGCCAUAAAAUUGAUUAUUUGUUCUCCUUUUGUUGAAGUAUCGAAAAUUUGUUUUAUCAUGAUUGUAUUUGUUUGUAUGAUUGUUAUGGUUCGGGCUUUUAGAAUAAUACUGCAUUUCAUUGCAUGAUCGCUGUGGUCUCACCUUCUAAGUGGGAGUAAGAAACUAUGCUUUCGUGAGGUUUUCACCUCCGCAUGAGCUAGUGGAUUGCUUCCGGGAUACAUCCGUACUUAUGAUUUCGUGAGAUUUUCAUCUCCGUAUGGUCAUAGGGAAAUGUAUUUCUCUGAAUCGAACUCGAUCUAUAUGAGCCUAUAAUGGGUGAGGAUUGAGGAAUCUGCUAGUUUAGGUACCUUAUCUCUAGAACCGAACCACAUAUAGCGAGCCUUAAGAGCUAUCCUUGGGUGGAGCCACAUCAAGCCUUAGUAUUUGCCCAUAUAUGUGUUAUAAUUAUCUUUCCUGUGCUUGUAUUUUAUCGCUUGUAUUUGAUACUAACUUGUGUUUUGUUUUGAUUGUGUUUUGCAUGACAUUGCAUACUAAAGGAGGUGUUGAUUCGUAUUCGAUUACUAAGUUAGAAAGUUUGACAUGGAGAAUGAAUUUCUUAAUAAAGUUGAGGAUAACACAGCUGUUCGCGCAUGGUCA